UACAGAGGUCUCAAGCGUUGUUCGGAUUCAUUGGGCGUAAAGGGUGUGUAGAGGUCGGUCAGUCAGGUGUGAAAUCUCAGAGCUAACUCUGAAACUGCGCUUGAUACUGCUCGGCUAGAGGAUCGAGGGGGUAACGGAAUUUAUGGUGUAGCAGUGAAAUGCGUAGAUAUCAUAAGGAACACCGGUGGCGAAGGCGGUUACCUGGAAGAUUCCUGACUCUGAAACACGAAAGCCAGGGGAGCAAACGG
rnacentral:rRNA from 1 species